UGGGGAAUCUUGGACAAUGGGGGCAACCCUGAUCCAGCCAUGCCGCGUGAGUGAUGAAGGCCUUAGGGUCGUAAAGCUCUUUCGCCUGUGAAGAUAAUGACGGUAGCAGGUAAAGAAACCCCGGCUAACUCCGUGCCAGCAGCCGCGGUAAUACGGAGGGGGUUAGCGUUGUUCGGAAUUACUGGGCGUAAAGCGCACGUAGGCGGACCAGAAAGUUGGGGGUGAAAUCCCGGGGGCUCAACCCCGGAACUGCCUCCAAAACUAUUGGUCUAGAGUUCGAGAGAGGUGAGUGGAAUUCCAAGUGUAGAGGUGAAAUUCGUAGAUAUUUGGAGGAACACCCGUGGCGAAGCGGCUGUCUGGACCAGUUCUGACGCUGAGGCGCGAAAGCGUGGGGGAGCAAAACAGGAUUAGAUACCCUGGUAGUCCACACCGUAAAACGAUGAAUGCCAGUCGUCGGGGUAGCAUGCUAUUCGGUGACACACCUAACGGAUUAAGCAUUCCGCCU
rnacentral:rRNA from 1 species